UUAACGUGUCUGCCUAAAAUAAUUCUAAAGCGGCAGGUAUAACGCACAUGAAGCAAUACAUUAGUUGUUUGUUUGUUAACCAGCUACUAUAAUAUCACACCACUUCCACCUUCUUCCAGUCUAAAGCAAAUGACCUAUCUAUGUGGUUAAUGCUGAUUGGCCAAUGCAGUUCCAAGCAAAAAGCUCAUUUCACCAAUGAGGAACCUUUAGACACGCCCCUACCUUUAGAUACACCCAUUUUCUCCAACCUGCAGCUAUCCCUAUCUCCAGUUUCUGAUACACAAGCUGCCAUCCUGACUCAGCAUAUCACCAAAUUAGCCUAGUUGCCAAACACACACACGUGGACAUUACUUUACAAGUCAAAGUAUUAAUAGAGAGAUGUGCUGGUUCGUGUCACCUUCGAGCGUACAAAAGGAGCUCCAGGUAAAGUUUCUAUCCUUUCGUUAUUAGAGACUUCAUGAAUCAAAUGAAAUUACACUCGGAACGUUGUGUGAUCGUAACUCGUUUCGUAGCUCUUUCUAAAUCAGCGAAACCGGGAAAAUUCCGGCUGCGUUUAAUGGUGGAAAUGCCUCAAACAUGGUAAGCAAAUACGCAGGCUCGAAUACUCUCGACGGCUUUAGUUUGUAAACAACGGCCGACUUCGUGAGCUAAAGCACCACGAAGGGUUUCGUUUUUACGUGUAGCUCCUAUACGGUGUGAGUAAUGCCGAAAUGAAGCCAUGAAUGUUUGCCCUCGAUAUUCAUGUGGCGUGCAUCAUUGUGUUAUUUUGUCAGGUCAGGUGACCGAAGCAGAGGUCACAGGUGAGGUCGAAUAAUAACGUGGUGACAUGUUAGCAGCGAGAUUCAGCAUUGUGAUAAAUGUUAGGCUGAUGUACUGCACAGGUGCAUCUCAAAACAUUUGAAUAUCAUGUAAAAGUUGUUUUUUGCACCCGUAAUUUAAUUCAAUAAGUGGAACUUUCAUAGAUUCUAGAUUCAUUACACAUAAAGUGAAAUAUUUCAAGCGUUUUGUUUGUUUUAAUCUUGAGGAUUAAGGCUUACAGCUCAUGGAAAUCAAAAAUCCGGUAUCUCAGAUAUUAAAAUGAAGAAUUUAUAAUACAGAAAUGUCGACCUGAUGAAAAGUAUGUUCAUUUAUGCACUCAGUACUUGGUCAGGGCUCCUUAUGCUCCUGCUGAGGUGUUCUGGAAGUCCAGGUUGCUUCCAUAGCGGCCUUCAGCUCGUCUGUAUCGUUGGGUCUGGUGUCUCUCAGAGAUUCUCUAUGGAGUUCAGGUCAGGUGAGUCGGCUGGCCAAUCAAGCACAGUAAUACCACGCUCAGCAAACCAGUUACUAGUAGAAGAGCGCUGGUGACCACGGAUCUAGAGCGAACAAGUUGAAGUAAACUCCUCACAGAAAACUUAACCAGAUCGACAGCUAUUCGGUUUUCUUUGUUAUAGAACACAUUAUUAUUUCAUUUUGUUUUAAAAUGAUUAAUCGCCGCGAGUUACUAUAGAUACAGUAACAUAUUAGAACAAGCACAUUAAUAUAAAGCAGUGAUUUCCUCGUAGGAGAACUACAGCCACAUUUUGCUCUUAGAGAACUUUAAAUCAACACCUUCUGACCAAUCAGAUUCAAGAAUUCAACAGUGCUGUGAUAUAUAAAUCAUUGUAAUACAGUUUUGAUAAUAGUAGGACGAUCAGGCCUAACCAGCUGUAGAAUCCCGUAGGGCAGACUUCGUGUAAAUCCAAAAUCCGAUCACCGUCUUAUUCCUAUACUCGUCCUGAGGUGUCCCCUGCGCCCUGCAAUGAUCAAUCAACACUUUUAGCCAAAACGUCUUUUUUUUAUUUUUUUAUUUGUUCAAUUCCACAGAAAAAUUGAAGCCAUAUAUAAACAGAUGUGUGUACAAAGUUUAUAUUAUUCGUAUACUAAAGUUUGUGUCUUAGAGAGUUGAGGAAAGGCAGCUAAAAAGCAAAAUAUCUCCCCAUUUAAAAACAACAACAAAAUAAAGAUAGCAGUAUGAGGAAAACAUAUGCAUAUGUAACAAUUGGGUCUUAAAGAAGCCAUAAGUAGAUUCAUACAUAAUACAUAAAAGUGUGGAAUGUUAGAAGGUGGGAAUAAACAAGAUCACGUUUCAUUCUUUUCUGUGGCGUGGUCACAUGCCGGUCACUACCCGUGUUUUUAUAUGGUGGUAAAAUAGGCAUGGGGACCAGUUAUAUGCAACAAAGUCACUUAUCGCUUCUUUAAACAGAAAAGAAAGUUAAAAAAAAUAAAAAAGUGAAAGGGGGGGGGG